AGGAGGGUGAGUGAAAAUAUUUCCGUUCCUGACCUGAUGACAGCCUGUUUGUUGGGGUCGUAGAGGGACAUGAAGAGUUCGGCGUCCUCUCCGAUGCGGCACACGAAGUUACGGACGAAGACGUAGAGACUGCCACCGAGGUGUGAGAGGGGGCUGAAGUGCUGACCUUCGCAUGACUCCUCUAUGUGGACGGUGUCGCCCACCUCCAGAGCAAGGUGCUUCUCCCCACUGCCUCUGAAGUUCCACUUAACUGAGAGCCACAGGAGCCCACGGAGGAGAUGAGGGAGGAGAGGACCGAGAAAAUUCAGGAAGGUGGAUGUGAUGGCGACCACUGGGUAGUUGCCGUUUUUCUGAAAGCCGACUACACCCUCCCUAUAGGUCGGUUGGCCUGCGGUGACCACGUGACACCCCACAUCCUGUCCAUUUCUUAUCGCGCAACUGAGAGGCAAAGCCUCUCCACCAAUGUAUUCAAUGUCGCCUGCACCAGUGAACAAAUGGGAGUAUCUUCUGUACCAAUUCAUAGAAGAAGAGCUGACAGCACCCGUGCGAAGAUGAGUGGGAGCUGGCUGUGUUCUUGACGAGCGGUUGACUGGUCAGCCGAUUAAUUGCGAGACACAUCGACACCACGAACGUGGUCCCCCCCCGACUCGUAGACGGAGUUGAGUUGCGGUGUUCGGGUGUGCCUGGGGAGGGAGACAUGGCGUCUGACACGGUGCUUAAAGUGCUCUUGGGGAUCGCCCUGGGGCUGAUAAUCCUGAUGACGGUGGUGGGGAACGUGGUGGUGUGCCUGGCCGUCGGUGCCAGCCGGCGGCUGAGGUGCGUGACGAACUGCUUCAUCGUGUCGCUGGCGGUAGCCGACCUGCUCCUGGGCCUGCUGGUGCUGCCGCUGUCCGCCAUGCUGGAGCUGAUGGGGGGCCGCUGGCCCCUGGGGGCCACCUUCUGCAACAUCUACGUCAGCCUGGACGUCAUGCUGUGCACCGCCUCCAUCCUCAACCUGUUCGCCAUCAGCGUGGACCGCUACGUGGCCGUCACCGUCCCGCUGCGCUACCCGGGGCUGGUGACGCCCGCGCGCGUCGCCGUGGCGAUGGCGUUCAUCUGGGCCGUGUCGCUGCUGCUGUCCUUCCUGCCCAUCCAGCUGGGCUGGAACACGCCGGACCUGGAGGUGCAGAACCGGCGCGGCCGCAACCAGUCGCGCUGCCUCCUGGAGCUCAACCGCGGCUACGCGCUGUUCGACGCCCUCGCCACCUUCUACCUCCCGCUGCUGGUCAUGUGCGGGACGUACUACCGCAUCUUCCGGAUCGCGCGCGGGCAGGCGCGCCGCAUCAACAGCCGGCCGUCCUCGCUCAGCCUGGCGGCCUCCGUGCGCGAGCACAAGGCCACGGCCACGCUGGCGGCCGUGCUGGGCGCCUUCAUAGUCUGCUGGGUGCCCUACUUCACCUACUUCACCUACAUCGGCUGGCGUGAGGGCGACGGCUACUCGCCCACCACCUUCUCCGUCGUGCUGUGGCUGGGCUACGCCAACUCCACGCUGAACCCCAUCCUCUACGCCGCGCUCAACCGGGACUUCCGCAGCGCGUACGGCCGGCUGCUCUGCCGGAGGGUGUGCCCCGCGCCCCUCUCCCACCUCAGCGUGCCCAGCCCCGGGGACUUCGUGCUCCUGUGCGCCCACACCAACGGCUGCCGGGAGAGGCCCACCAUCGAGGCCGGCCAGAUGCUCCAGGAGAGAAACACGAACGGCAGCGCUAUCGCCGGCCAGGCUCACCAGACAGAUCCUUGCCUCUCCUCCUGACGUCUGUCUGCACCUGUCUGACUGUGCGUAUCGGCUGCCAAUCUCCUCAGUCCCGACGCUGAACACGAGCCAAGGAAGCAGCACAUCAGCUGAGUCCACAUCUGUGGGAGGAGCUUUCGACAAACCUCAGAUGAACCAAUCGGUAUCACUGAAAAUAGCCUGAGACAGACCUCAGAAGGGAUCAGCACCGCUGACCUAAUCCUAGGAUGUGACUGGACUAGAGUGACUCAAAACAAGAAGACCAGUGAGGUUAAUGGUGUCUCUACUACAUAUAUCUGCAGUCAAUGGCUGUCACUGCUGGUACAGUGAUAAUUCCAGAUGCUUCAGAGAAAAAACUCAUUCUACUCAGUCUGCAGCUGAACUGAUAGUUCUUCCAAGAAUAAUAAUGAAAAAAAAGCUCUAGGUUUAAGACCAUGAGACUGCCUAACCUGUGAGAAGCCUGCCCUCUAGUGGAAGAUCUCAGUUUACACCACAAAGGGAUCGA